rnacentral:rRNA from 1 species
GAUGAACGCUGGCGGCGUGCCUAAUACAUGCAAGUCGAGCGAACAGACGAGGAGCUUGCUCCUCUGACGUUAGCGGCGGACGGGUGAGUAACACGUGGAUAACCUACCUAUAAGACUGGGAUAACUUCGGGAAACCGGAGCUAAUACCGGAUAAUAUAUUGAACCGCAUGGUUCAAUAGUGAAAGACGGUUUUGCUGUCACUUAUAGAUGGAUCCGCGCCGCAUUAGCUAGUUGGUAAGGUAACGGCUUACCAAGGCAACGAUGCGUAGCCGACCUGAGAGGGUGAGCGGCCAAACUGGAGCUGAGCCACGGUCCAGGAUCCUACGGGAGGCAGCAGUAGGGAAUCUUCCGCAAUGGGUGAAAGCCUGACAGAGCAACGUGACGUGAGUAAUGAAGAUCUUCGAAUCGUAAAACUCUGUUAUUAGGGAAGAACAAAUGUGUAAGUAACUAUGCACGUCUUGACGGUACCUAAUCAGAAAGGCACGGCUAACUACGUG